rnacentral:misc_RNA from 1 species
UCCCAAAAAUUUAUUGGGGUUGGCGAUUUGUGUAACCAUAAUAAAGAUUUUAAUUUAUGCCAUGUGACUAAUAUAAUUCCCAGCAAUUAAUCUAUAUUAUUUUAUUUAGAUUGUUGUUUAAAUUGUGGGAGAAGUACAAAAAAUAUCAUGAGGUUUCACACUUUGACAUUUUGGGGACUUUGGUUCAAUUUUUGACAAAAUGGUAUCGUGAGCUUUACUCUGAUAGCACUCUAAGGAUGCUUUAAUGCCGUUAGUUAUGCUAAUGUGGCAGUAUACAAUCAAUGAAAUAGAUUUUUCUUUCAUUAAAAAUUGUUACUUCAUUUUCUUAACAAAAAAAUUUCAUAUUAUUUGUGGGACCUAAGACAUCUUUUUGAAAAAGUUAUUUUAUUACACUCACUGCCAUGUCAGCAAAAUUAACUAUGCUAGAAUAUUUGCCCUUAAAAUGCUAAUAGAGUAAAUCCAAGGGUACCAUUUUGUCAACAGAUUGAACCAAGGACCCCAAAGUGUCAAAGUGCAAAACUCUUGGUACUUUUUUUGUACUUUCUCCUUCAAAUUUAACUGACCAAUAUCUGACUUAGCGCCGAAUAAGCCCUGGAAGUGUCAGUGAUUCAUAUUUAUGUUUAUGCAAAUCUGCAGAGUUUGAUUUUAUCCAGGAAC